AAAUUGCCGAGAGAUAAUAGAAGAAACGACCGAUGAGAACCUGAGGAGGUUAAACAAAGUAUUGUUUUUUAUACCGUUAUUAAAUUUUAAUAUUUAUAACUUGAUAAAAAUAGAAAUCUGCAAAUCCUACUCAUUUAGAAGUAAAAACUAGAGAGAAAGCCUGAAUACAACUCAUGGAGAGGCUGAUAGAACCACAGUUCCUGAUGCAAUAAUACGAAAUCUCAAAUAGCAACUCGCAACAGUUUUUGCCAAUUACUCGUGGGCGUGCGUCAGACGAAGUCCUAAUCAGAGCGGCCUAGAUAGGAAGAAAAAACAAAAGUAAUCAGCAAUGCAAUUGUGAUUCUGUAAUAAUGAUAAUAUGUAAAAAAUUUCUUUUAUACAGAA